rnacentral:rRNA from 1 species
ACAUGCAAGUCGAACGAUGAUGCCCAGCUUGCUGGGUGGAUUAGUGGCGAACGGGUGAGUAAAAACGUGAGUAACCUGCCCUUAANUNUGGGAUAAGCCUGGGAAACUGGGUCUAAUACCGGAUAUGANUCCUCAUCGCAUGGUGGGGGGUGGAAAGCUUUUUGUGGUUUUGGAUGGACUCGCGGCCUAUCAGCUUGUUGGUGAGGUAAUGGCUUACCAAGGCGACGACGGGUAGCCGGCCUGAGAGGGUGACCGGCCACACUGGGACUGAGACACGGCCCAGACUCCUACGGGAGGCAGCAGUGGGGAAUAUUGCACAAUGGGCGCAAGCCUGAUGCAGCGACGCCGCGUGAGGGAUGACGGCCUUCGGGUUGUAAACCUCUUUCAGUAGGGAAGAAGCGAAAGUGACGGUACCGGCAGAAGAAGCGCCGGCUAAUUACGUGCCAGCAGCCGCGGUAAUACGUAGGGCGCAAGCGUUAUCCGGAAUUAUUGGGCGUAGAGAGNUNGUAGGCGGUUUGUCGCGUCUNCCGUGAAAGUCCGGGGNUCAACUCCGNAUCUGCGGUGGGUACGGGCAGACUAGAGUGAUGUAGGGGAGACUGGAAUUCCUGGUGUAGCGGUGAAAUGCGCAGAUAUCAGGAGGAACACCGAUGGCGAAGGCAGNUCUCUGGGCAUUAACUGACGCUGAGGAGCGAAAGCAUGGGGAGCGAACAGGAUUAGAUACCCCUGGUAGUCCAUGCCCGUAAACGUUGGGCACUAGGUGUGGGAGACAUUCCACGUUUUCCGCGCCGUAGCUAACGCAUUAAUGCCCCGG